rnacentral:rRNA from 1 species
UACGUAGGUGGCAAGCGUUGUCCGGAUUUAUUGGGCGUAAAGCGCUCGCAGGCGGCUCGAUGCGUCGUGCGUGAAACACCCCGGCUCAACUGGGGAGGGUCGUGCGAUACGGUCGGGCUGGAGGCCAGUAGGGGGAUGCGGAAUUCCGGGUGUAGUGGUGGAAUGCGUAGAGAUCCGGAGGAACACCAGCGGCGAAGGCGGCAUCCUGGACUGGUACUGACGCUCAUGAGCGAAAGCGUGGGGAGCGAUCCGG